AUUAAAAAAGAAAAAAGAAAACCCUUCGUCCCCCUUUCUCUUUCUCUCUCUCCGUCCCUCCCUCUCUCACUUCCAAAACCGACAGCCUCUCUCUCUCUCUCUCUCUCUCUCUCUCUCCCCGCCCCCCAUUCCAUCCUCCCAAAAUUGACAACCUAUCUCUCUCACUUUAAAUGAUAGAGUAGAGAGCUCCCCUUUGGAUUUGUAGAUCUCAACAAGCUCAUGUAAUUUCAAUGGCAGACCUGUUCGAUUCUCGCGCUCGCAUCAGAUUUAAGGAGUGUCUAUUUGACGAUAGCAACAGCACGCCCAGAGACAUUAUUUGCUGAUACAGCUAUCGCGGUGCAUCCCAAGGCUUUAGAUUACGACGACAAUGAAGGACUGGAUUUUGUGACAACUUAAGAAUCUACUUUUAGAGAUUGUUGAAUGAUGAUGCUGUCACAAGAUAGAAUUAGGAGGGGCCUUAGAUCUUGGAAGGUUGGAAAGGCAUAUGUAUUAUCAUACAUCAUUAUGAAGGGUUGAGAAGUUUCUAGCGAUUUUAGAGGAUAAUGCUGGUUGAUGCUUCAGUUGUUUUAGUAUUUCCCAAACAGCUAAAAGAGAUAGGUAAAGUAAUCAUCAGUCUUAAUUUCCAACUUGUAUUGUUGUGUCUGCAUAAGAUUCGAGUAUUUCCAUGUUUGCACCCAACAUGAAGCUUGUAGUUGGCUGUAAAACAUCGAUCAUGAAUAGAGUAAUAGAUGCUUGCCCACCUCUAUACAUGAAUCUGCUCCGCUUCCUGUCAUAUUUUGUGCAACCAUAUCUCAGAUUUUUCUCCAGGUGGAAAUUAAUUUAGAUGGUUCUCUUGAAAGCACCUUUAUUUCUUUCUUUAUUUUAGAGUGCA